GGAAAGUCAGAGAAGGAGAAAGAGUAGAGCCAGGAUACAUUCUCAGGUAAGGUCUUGUCCUCCUGACUCUUAGGGGUCUGGGGAGGAAUAAACUUAGCCCCAGCCAGGCAGCUUCUGCAGUCAGCUCAACAAAGAAGGUGACAGCUGGGAGCUGUCAGCAGCCAAAAGUCUCAGGUGCACUGGCCCCAGAAAGGGCAUCUGGGUGGGGCCUCAACAUGGACAGUUACAGGCAGAUAAGAGUCAGAAGGGCCAGCAUCAGAUCCACGUUCCCCUGACAUCACUUUGGUCUAUCUGUGACCUCUGAAAGGACAUUCUUGUGAACAAAGGUGAGCUAACAGGUUCCUUGCAGAACCUCAGUGUGAAACCACAUGCAUGGGCAGGGGUCCACAUGGGGUGGAUCCACCCCUCUUAGUCUUGUCCUGUGGUGGUCCUGAGCCAUGUCUCCCCCAUCUCGUUUGUACAUCAGAGGCAGGCUAUGGACUUGUCAACGACUCAGGAGCAAAGAGAACUCUGCCCAAGGGGACGGUCAUGCCCUUGCCCCAGCACUUUGCUGGGGGCCUGGUCUGUUCACCACAGCCUGGCAUCCUGCUCAAUAUGCUUGGGCCAGUUUGUGAUUUUUCAGGAGGAUUGGAAAAGUGCUAAUGCUUUAGGAGGUGGCAGUGACAGAAAGCUGGAAGACUUCUCUGAAGAACAGUGACAGGAGCAAAAGAGAGAGACGCCCAGGACUUGUAGGAGCUGCAGGAGGACCCUUUCCCUUCCGCAUGAGGAGAGGCAUGAGGGUGUGAAAUCUGACCAGCUAGAGUGAUUUUGUAACCACCAGAUAAGAAACUGCAGCUGCUGAGGGGCCAUUCUGAGCAGUCCAGGAAUGAAGUCAACACCACAAAAGGCAGACGAGCGAGAUGGUGAGAAACCAGGUCCUGGGGUAUCCUUUGAGGCACUGGACCAAGUCUGACCUGAGGUCUGUCUGACUACUGGACUCUUGUUAUGUGAACGAAUACAUGUUUUUCAUUGUCUAACUGGUUG
rnacentral:lncRNA from 1 species